CCUACGGGAGGCAGCAGUGGGGAAUAUUGCACAAUGGGGGAAACCCUGAUGCAGCGACGCCGCGUGAGUGAAGAAGUAUUUCGGUAUUUAAAGCUCUAUCAGCAGGGAAGAAAAUGACGGUACCUGAUUAAGAAGCCCCGGCUAACUACGUGCCAGCAGCCGCGGUAAUACGUAGGGGGCAAGCGUUAUCCGGAUUUACUGGGUGUAAGGGGAGCGUAGACGGCAGCACAAGUCUGGAGUGAAAUGCCGGGGCUUAAGCCCGGAACUGCGUUGGAAACUGUGCAGCUAGAGUGCAGGAGAGGUAAGUGGAAUUCCUAGUGUAGCGGUGAAAUGCGUAGAUAUUAGGAGGAACACCAGUGGCGAAGGCGGCUUACUGGACUGUAACUGACGUUGAGGCUCGAAAGCGUGGGGAGCAAACAGGAUUAGAUACCCCAGUAGUC
rnacentral:rRNA from 1 species